rnacentral:misc_RNA from 1 species
GAUGAAGAACGCAGCGAAAUGCGAUAAGUAAUGUGAAUUGCAGAAUUCAGUGAAUCAUCGAAUCUUUGAACGCACCUUGCACCCUUUGGCAUUCCGAAGGGUAUGCUCGUUUGAGUGUCAUUGUACUCUCACAUUCUCCGAUCCUAUGGAUUCGGGGAGCGGUGGACUUGGGUGUUGCUGCCUUUCCUUGUGGCUCACCUCAAAUGUGUCAGUGCACCUCUUGGUUGGACAUAGUACGGCGUGAUAAGUGUCUUCGCCGGCACCUCGCAAGAGGGUGGCCGAUCGGGAGCUCUGUGCUUUCAAACCGUCUUCGGACAAUUUCUGACAACUUGACCUCAAAUCGAGUAGGACUACCCGCUGAACUUAAGCAUAUCAAUAAGCGGAGGA